rnacentral:rRNA from 3 species
GUGCAAUGGCAUAAGCCAGCUUGACUGCGAGCGUGACGGCGCGAGCAGGUGCGAAAGCAGGUCAUAGUGAUCCGGUGGUUCUGAAUGGAAGGGCCAUCGCUCAACGGAUAAAAGGUACUCCGGGGAUAACAGGCUGAUACCGCCCAAGAGUUCAUAUCGACGGCGGUGUUUGGCACCUCGAUGUCGGCUCAUCACAUCCUGGGGCUGAAGUAGGUCCCAAGGGUAUGGCUGUUCGCCAUUUAAAGUGGUACGCGAGCUGGGUUUAGAACGUCGUGAGACAGUUCGGUCCCUAUCUGCCGUGGGCGCUGGAGAACUGAGGGGGGCUGCUCCUAGUACGAGAGGACCGGAGUGGACGCAUCACUGGUGUUCGGGUUGUCAUGCCAAUGGCACUGCCCGGUAGCUAAAUGCGGAAGAGAUAAGUGCUGAAAGCAUCUAAGCACGAAACUUGCCCCGAG